rnacentral:piRNA from 1 species
UUCCUGCUAGGUUGACCUUAAUC